UUCUUCCCGCCCUGCACAUGGCCAUGAGGCCAGACCUGUGGCAGCCGUCUUGCGAAAAUGAGGCAGUAAGUGCAGAAUGAAAGCCAACUCGCCCACGAUGGGAGAGCAGAAAGGCAGCAACCGCCCAGAUGAAGAGACCACAGUGUGGCCUCCUUGCAGCUGAGAGCCACCUAUGCAGUGUCAGAUGCUACUGGGUGGGGCUGCCUGCAAAGUUCCAGAAAGGCCAUCACAUGUGCCACUGUCAAUCCUUAAGCCAAUGGCAUGAAGUACAGACGAGAAAACUGAAGACCUGACAGAUUAAGCAACUUUCCCAGGGCCGCAGAGCCACAGAGUGACAGAUGAAGACGUUGGUUGCACAGUCCUGCUCCAGAGCCCACCCCCUGAUCCCUUCUCUGCCACUUCUCCUCAAGCCUAAACCUUCAGAAACGACUGCUGCCUAAUAAUGAAGGAAGCCAGGGUGAAAGA